ensembl:lncRNA
CAGACGGACCCAGAUGUGGCUUUGCUGCCGCCAUUCGACUUCUGGCAGCCGGAAGCUUUUGGCGGAAGAAGGAGCGCUCGGCACCUGGCAGCAGCGCCUCCUUCUCUACCCAGCAGAGCGUUUUCCUUUCCGUCCUGCAGAUUCAACCCAGACACCACGCUGCUGGAGGCCGUUCCACGAUGCUGGGCCCGCUGGAGGGAAGGGGAGACGCGGGGGGAGAACGGAGAACAGAAGGAGACAAGAACUGGGCAGAAUGGUGUGGACGGGUGUGCGUUGCAUUGGACUGCGCAGAAGACUCCAGUCCGUGUCCUGUCAAGAGACCUGCGAAUUGUGAUUUUAAGAAAGUUUACCUUGUUCGCAUGUUCCGAUCUAUUGCUUCUUGGCAGCUGCUCGGAAAUGGCAGCGACCCAACGGAAACCUCAGGUGUUCCGGAACAUCCCCGUGGAUACACUAUGAGUACAGCUCCUCGUGCUCCUGCUAAGUGAACCCGACUCGGCGGCCCGGCUGAUAGUAGAUCUUAACCCCCUUUUAGAUGUUUCUUGAAAGAAAAGAAGAGGAGUGUUCAGGGCAGCGAGGCAGCGUGUAGGCACACAGAGUAAGUCUGGCUCUGACUCACUGUGGCAGCGGCUUUAAUGAGAGUGGAAAAGCUGCAGUGUUCUCAUGCGAUGCGGAGUCAAAUACUCGCCCUGAGGUCUGCAGGGGGUCAACCGUGGUGCGUAGACGGAGAGAAAGAGAGGAGGAGGAGGAGGGAUAAAAAAAGAAAGAAAAUACAAGUAUACUGUCUAGAAGACAUACAUUCCUUCCAUCACCAAGCACCGAAAUUAUAUCAGUGAGUUUCUAAAAACCAACAGAGGAAUGGAGCUCGACUGACAUCACAUCUGUUUCUGAACCUGAAUAUUUUGACCAGAAGCGGAAGCACAGUUCUCAGGUGGACCAAAUUAAGCUUGUGGGAACACAUAAUGAAGAGUCUCGUCAACGGGGUUACGGGAAUCUUAAUGAGUCACAUGAUUUUGUGUCGUUGAUAAACAAAAGCAGUGGUAAGCUAAAUGUGUAACCUGUGCCGAUGCCGUGGCAGGGAGCCCGAGGGGGCCACAGAGCUCAUGCUGGCUGGCUGCAUGCAGCAAUCUCUGCUGGGAAACGGCCCGGCCUCCCUUUUCUUCACUACAAACUGUGUGCCGAUGAGUUGACUUUUUUGCAGCCUCCCUGUUACGUGGACUUUUAGCUGUUUUUGGUAGGUUAAGGUAGGUAUUUACAACUGGUGAUAAAUGAAGCGGGGCGAACGCUAGAUUUCUGUCAGCAUGAGCAUGGCUCAUUUUAAAGAAGUUGUUAAAGUGCAGGCAUGAACACGCAAACAGACAAUAAAAUAAAGCUGUGACAGUUCCAGUUUUACACAAGCUGUUAUCUUUUUUUUAUUUGCAGCGUAAACCGAAGUAUAAUUAUUAGUAGUCCUUUUUUUCCCACAAUUCACAUGAGGGUGAUGUCAAAAGUCAUGUUUCCAGAUGCUGCAGAUUUGCAUGCUUCUGGACAUUUGCAUGCUCAUUGUAAUAGCGACAUAUUGUUCAGUGAUUACCUGAAAGUCAGACCAUGUAAAAUAAUGUACCCAGUACAAAACGAUCAUCUGUUUAAAAAGAAAAGCGGUUAAAAGCACCACAAAAUGUUUUUUGAAGUCAACGCAACGCAUUUCACUCCAGUGAAAACACAUGUGACGAGGAGAACUCUGCUGCAACGCGUGCCUUACAUCAUGUGAAAACGAAGACACGGCAUUCAUCAAAGAUGGCUGGGUUUGCAUGUCACUGGCAUCAAACGGCUUGUUUUUUUAUAUCCAGCUUCAGUAAUGUAAGUAUUGGGUUUGCCCAGGGCAAAGAUCUGCCCCAUUCAUUAGAGAGUUUCAUCAAUUAACACCACCCACAGGGUUUUGGGAAAAAAGCUCUGAGCGACCGCAAAGGCCACAGUCAGUGUCCCCUCCUUCCUGACGAUUAGUUCUCUGCUCCGGUUUCUUCAAGGACAACAUAUGAUAGGCUGCUUAUCUUUGUGGGAAAUACACCCUCCUUUCACUCAGCAUUGACUAAAAGAUAUUAAAGGGGAAAAGGCCGCUUCACACACACACACACACACACACA